GUACCACUUCAGCAGGGUCUCAGCACCAUCUGAUGGGGAAUCUCUCUUACCCUCCACUCAGGGUUGCCUGGAUCUUGCCUAAGGGACUUAGUGCCCAGUUUUCACCAUCUUGGGAUCAUGUGGAGGAUGGUGAUGAAGACUGAAGAGGGUCUUAAUGCCCUCCAAACCACCCCAUCAGUUCUCUGUCUCUCCCUUGGAGCCCUGUCUCUCUCCUGGCAUCUCCCUUUCAGUGCAAGGCUCCCCACCUCCAACUCGGUGUCACAUCCCCAGGAGGCCUGGGACUCUGAAUGUCCAAUGAGAUUCUGGGAGAUUUUUGGUUUUUAAACCCCCCUCCUGGAACCAGACAUCCUGGGUUCAAAUCCCAGUACUCUGAUCUUGGGCAAGUUAUUUGACCUUCCUGGGCCUGAGUUUCUCCAUCUUAAGCAUGGACAUAAUAAAAUGUCCCACUUAGCCUUGUUA